rnacentral:tRNA from 1 species
AAAAAAUUAGUUAAUACUUAUAACAUUAAUUUGUCAAAUUAAAGUAAAUAAAUUUUUUUAUUAUUUUUUU